AUUGAACGCUGGCGGCAGGCCUAACACAUGCAAGUCGAGCGGAGCGGCGGACGGGGAAGUAAGGCCUAGGAAUCUGCCUGGGCGUGGGGGAUAACGUCCGGAAACGGGAACUAAUACCGAAUACUAUCAGCUGAGCCUAGGUCGGAUUAGCAAGUGGGUGGGGUAGAGGCCAACCAAGGCGACGAUCCGUAACUGGACUGAGAGGAUGAGCAGGCACACUGGAACUGAGACACGGUCCAUACUCCUACGGGAGGCAGCAGUGGGGAAUAUUGGACAAUGGGCGAAAGCCUGAUGCAGCCAUGCCGCGUGUGUGAAGAAGGUCUUCGGGUUGUAAAGUACUUUAAGCUGGGAGGCGGUACCCGCAGAAUAAGCACCGGCUAACUCCGUGCCAGCAGCCGCGGUAAUAC
rnacentral:rRNA from 1 species